AUCUCUGCCUCCUCGUGGGUUCUGUGGGGAAGCGUCUGAGCUGUGAGGCUCGGGGGCUCUCUGCGCGUGUCCCCUUCCCGAGGGGCCGCACACUGUACCUAGGGCCGCUCAGCACUGGGGAGCACCUCCCCACAUAGUUUCUUUGGUUUUAUCAUUGUCUGUAGUGAGAAAUUAAGCCUCACUCUUACUAAGGCAUCUUAGCUGAAAGUGGAAGUUCCUAUUCACUUUUUGAAUGUCUUUUAAAAUUUAUAAUGAGAAAAAAUAAGCCAGCAAUGUAGAGUGCUUAGUCUGUGAAAUUAAGCAACAGUUUCACCUUCUUAAUAUGGAAAUUAGUGGUGUUUUCAAAGUGCUCACCACCUUAGAAUGUAUUUUACUUAUGGAGCAUCAUGAUGCCUUUGUUCUUAUAUGAGCUCCUGGAUGGAAUCAGGUGUGCAAACACAAACACUGCAGGCUGGGAUUAUGUGUUUCCUGAUCAGUUCAAGUGUCCUAAGAAUGUGCUCUCGACAGAUAAACAUUUCCUUGCAUAGAAACAGAAACAGACAAAACAUUAGCAUGAGGUCAAAUAAAUCCCCCUUGUCUCAAAGGCCACAGAGACAGCUGGAGUGUGAAGAUAACUGACACAGAAAAAUAAGUCAGUGCCUCGGCUUUGGGCAGUUGACACGUGGAGAGGGCAGAUGGCUCCAGAGGACGUGGAGAGCUGUCCACCACGGGGAUGACGGCUGCAGCCCCUUCUUCAGGAACCAAGAGGUGGGUUCUUUGCCACUUUUGCCACCUGGAACAUGUGAAGUUUCAACGUUGGCACAUGGAAGGGUGAACCCAGGAUGACAGAAGGGUUUGGAAGAGAAGAAACUUCCAGGAGUUUCCGAGAUGAAGAACCUGAUGUUUAUCGGCUCUGAAAGUCAGCCAUUUGGAAUAUUCCGGAAUGAUGGAUCCAGGAGUUUCCCAGCCUCCUCUCCUGUUCUCACUCCUGCCAGACACAGCAGGAUGGUCUCAGC